GACGAACGCUGGCGGCGUGCUUAACACAUGCAAGUCGAACGGAAAGGCCCUGCUUGCAGGGUACUCGAGUGGCAAACGGGUGAGUAACACGUGGGUGAUCUGCCCUGCACUUCGGGAUAAGCCUGGGAAACUGGGUCUAAUACCGGAUAGGAGCCAUUUUUAGUGUGAUGGUUGGAAAGUUUUUUCGGUGUAGGAUGAGCUCGCGGCCUAUCAGCUUGUUGGUGGGGUAAUGGCCUACCAAGGCGGCGACGGGUAGCCGGCCUGAGAGGGUGGACGGCCACAUUGGGACUGAGAUACGGCCCAGACUCCUACGGGAGGCAGCGGUGGGGAAUAUUGCACAAUGGGCGCAAGCCUGAUGCAGCGACGCCGCGUGGGGGAUGACGGCCUUCGGGUUGUAAACUCCUUUCGCUAGGGACGAAGCUUUUUGUGACGGUACCUAGAUAAGAAGCACCGGCUAACUACGUG
rnacentral:rRNA from 1 species